rnacentral:rRNA from 1 species
UACGGGGGGGGCAAGCGUUGUUCGGAAUUACUGGGCGUAAAGGGCUCGUAGGCGGCCAACUAAGUCAUACGUGAAAUCCCUCGGCUUAACCGGGGAACUGCGUCUGAUACCGGAUGGCUUGAGUUCGGGAGAGGGAUGCGGAAUUCCAGGUGUAGCGGUGAAAUGCGUAGAUAUCUGGAGGAACACCGGUGGCGAAGGCGGCAUCCUGGACCGAUACUGACGCUGAGGAGCGAAAGCCAGGGGAGCAAACGGG